AUGUUCUUCUUCCACCCGCUAAUGAUAACAGAUAGGCUGCCGGUAGCAAUCCUGCCACCUGUUGAGCUUCAUUUCUCAUACUCUGCCACUGACAGCACGAACAGAUCUGAGCAACUGCAGCAAGUGGCUGAAGAAAGGAAAAAGGAAACAAGAAAGCUUGUGUCCAGGCCUGCUGUGACUGAAAUAAGAACAGAGGCUGCUCAGUACACUGGGGCACUCUCUACCAGAUAUUGCCAUGGAUCAAUGCUCAGGCCAGAGAGGGCUCAGGUAGCCCUUACUGCAGGAGGAAGUAUCUCCACAGUGUUGUUGUGGAAUAAAGGAAUAAUUCUUUUCCCUCAGCUGAAAGAAGUAGCCCCACACACCAGUGAAGGUGACACUUCAUCUUCCAUCAAAUCUGCCCCUAGGAACAGCUUUUGCAGAAUGGCUCUUCUGUUUGCAUUAAUAUUGACUUGAGACAUCAUGGCCCUAGCUGCAUGGAACAUGUGUACACUGCGCACCUCGCUUCAGAAGGUAGGAAUACAUAAUUUGUGCAAAAAAUGGGACACAAAUGAAUCACAGGAUAAAAAUCCAGCAGUGGUGAGGGAGAAAUGUUGUCUUUAGCAUUCACCGUGAGAUCUUUCACUCCUGAGCAUUGAAUCUUUUUGGUGUCAGGAUACAUCCAGUUCUCAUUAGCGUGGAGAAAAGUUAUUGGUACUGAGCAGAGCUUCAUUAAGAUCUAUAGGAUAUUGAAGGGAAAAGGGACUUCAUUGUUAUGUACUGCUUAAUUUAGUGCCCAAUAAAAAGUUCAGGAGUAGAAAAAUUCAACCAAGGGAAUACAAAUCAUGAUUAAACUUAAGCAGAACUCUUCUCAGUUAUUAGACGAUACAGGGAUUAAACCUACUGGAUCAUUAGUAGAGCUCAGCAAUGGCGUAUAUAGCUAAUAAGGAAAGGAGAAUCAAAGAGCAACUUCUCAUUCUGAAGAAAUGUUUCAAAUCAGUUUUUUCUUCUGAGAUUUCUUGAGUCAUGUGGUUAAGGAACAGAGCAAGUUAAAGGAUUCGUUCAAGGAUCCAUUCCAUUGAUGCAAUUGAAAAUGGAUUAAGAAUACUGCCCUGGAAUUAAAGCUUUCUACUUCGGGUAGUUUGUUCCAAAGCCUUUUACCUAAUAUUGUCUUUUGAAAGAAAGAAUGGGUUCCAUACAACUGAUUGAUACUGGCUUUUAUUUUAUUUCAGAUAUGUUACAUUUGGAGGGGAGGGUAUGCAUGCCCACAGAAUGGAAAAAGUCAAAGAUCCAAUUGCAUACAAACAGUUCUUCUAUAGACAUUCCAAGAUGCCAUUUGUGCAGACGGAAAACAAACAUCCAGAGACAUGUCCACUUGGGUAUAUUAGGCUAGCCUUACACUGUCUCCUGCUGGAGUUCCUAAAGAGACCAGAUCAGAAAUAGAUGACUAUAUUUAAUGGUUUCAUGCUGUCUAUUAAUGUUGACAAUCAUCUGCUCUUUGAUAUACUUUAAACAAGACCUAAUUAAAAGCUCUGAAGUCAAGAGCGAUGCUCAUAGAAGCUUUGAUUCAUUUAAAGUGCCAUUUAAUAAUCUGGGCUUUUGUAAUUGCUGUCUUUUUUUUUUUUUCCCUCCUGUUUGCUCACAUUGUUUUAGAAACUGAUUCAAGUGUCCUGAAAGUUGAGUGUAUUUUGAGAAGUGUAAGGCAAUCUUUUAUGCUUUUGAGUGAAGUAAUCACUUAGUAUUGUUAGAAAAGGAAAAGAAUUGGGUUUCUUCCAAUCUAGACAUUGACUCUUUUACGUGGUACGUGGAUGUUGAUGUUGUACUUUCUUAUAUAGGUAUUUUGCAUUGCUAGCUCAGAUAGCUCAGAACUACAUCAAAUUGUGUAGAGUCUCGUGUCUACAGUAUGGAUUUGGGGCUCUCAUCAACUUUGCAUGCUGUUGUAUUGGAUAAGAAAUGUUAAAUCACAAUAACAGCUAGUUUAACCUCCGUAUUCUCCCAUGAACAACUGCUCCUGUUUUUUUUUUUCUCAGUAAAUUCGGUUUAGACCACUUUUUAACCAAUUUAUAGAUGCUUAACUUCUGUAAAUUCCUCUGAUGUGAACUAGGAUAUGGACUAAAUUGUCUCUUGAGCUCUCUUAUGAACUUGUUUUGUAUGAUUUACUGUUUUAUGAUUUUCUGUAAUUCUCUGAAUGCUCUGGUAGGAAACCUUUUGUUGCAGAUUCAAUUUGUCACCGCCUGAGAGAAGGUGUGAAACUGUGGUCUGUUGCUGUUAGAUUUACUUCUAAAGAAAGAUAAGCACUACAAGAUUACAUGAAAAGAACAAAAAUAUUUGAAGUGGCAAAAUCAUAAAUUCACAGCCAUUUCAAUGCUUAAUGAUUCAAUUUCAAUAUAUGUCAAUUCAUGUUUAUUUAUAUGAAAUGCAUAUAAGUUCCUUUAUGUUUAUUUAUACUAAAUGUAUACUAGUAAUAGAAAGAGUGCAGCAUCAAAUAACUAACUGUAAAGUUAUAAAAUUCCACCAAAUUCUUCUUGUAACAGGAGACAGCCUUCUUGCUUACCUGCUCUGUUCUAUGUUGCAUUCUUUCAUCAAGGGACUCAGCACAACUUUCUAACUUUUUCUUGUCUGCUGGACUAAUAGGAAUAAGAAAAGAGAAUGUUGCUUUUUGGUGACAGAAAAAUGAGAAACCCCAUAGGUAAGUGAAAAGAACUGCUGUCUGUGACAAAGGCUAGGAGAGGGCAAAUGGAGGAAGAAUGGGAGAGAGUGGAAAAAACUCUACUAGAUUCAGCCUUCAGUCAUUGGCCUUUCAUGGCUGAUGAUGGCCCAGAAUUAGGUGUAGCCUCUGUAAAGCCUUCUAGAUUACAGCUUUUUCUGUUGCCAUGGUAAUUUUUUUCACUUUUUUUUUUCUCCUUACUGGGAAACUAUGAACAUUGCUUUGUGGUUUUGUGAAGUAAGGCUCCCUCUGCAGCAGCAGCAGCAGCAGCUUUAAAUUGCCUGGUUGGGCAAGAUAGAGGAAUGGUAAUGCCAAUUCUUAGUUCUGUGUGAUAGAAAUUUCUUUGAAUUCAAAUAGUUUCUAAAAGCUGAUGUUAUCUUUUUCAGCAUCCUUAGAGCUUUAAAGGUCACUGCUAUUAUCAAAAGCAUUUUUUUUGGCGCACCAAGAUAGCACUGCCUCUUCUGCUGGGUUGGAAAUUCCACAAUAAAAAUUGCUUGGUAUUUAUUGCAUGGAUGAGCUUAAUCCAAAUAUUAAAUCUUAUUCCCCCGUCUAACUUUGAAGACUCACUUCCAUAUUCUUAUGAUACUUUUCUUCCUGAGUAAUCAGAAGUAUUUUGAGCUCUACAGAAAUUAUUUGACACUCACUGUCAAAAUCCACUAGCUCUGUGUCAAGUUUGUACUUAGAAGCCAUUCAUUUCUAUCAUACUCACUUCAAACUCACUUUUGUGACCUUCUGAACAUGAAAGGCAGUCAGAUUUCCUCUCAAACUUCAAGGUUUUAAUUGCUUUCAUGCAGUAUCUGUCUCUAAACUCAG
ensembl:lncRNA